AUUGAACGCUGGCGGCAGGCCUAACACAUGCAAGUCGAACGGUAACAGGAAGAAGCUUGCUUCUUUGCUGACGAGUGGCGGACGGGUGAGUAAUGUCUGGGAAACUGCCUGAUGGAGGGGGAUAACUACUGGAAACGGUAGCUAAUACCGCAUAACGUCGCAAGACCAAAGAGGGGGACCUUCGGGCCUCUUGCCAUCGGAUGUGCCCAGAUGGGAUUAGUUAGUAGGUGGGGUAACGGCUCACCUAGGCGACGAUCCCUAGCUGGUCUGAGAGGAUGACCAGCCACACUGGAACUGAGACACGGUCCAGACUCCUACGGGAGGCAGCAGUGGGGAAUAUUGCACAAUGGGCGCAAGCCUGAUGCAGCCAUGCCGCGUGUAUGAAGAAGGCCUUCGGGUUGUAAAGUACUUUCAGCGGGGAGGAAGGGAGUAAAGUUAAUACCUUUGCUCAUUGACGUUACCCGCAGAAGAAGCACCGGCUAACUCCGUG
rnacentral:rRNA from 1 species